CGCAGCUGCCUGGGGCUGCAUCUCCUCUGGACCUGCCGGGGCUUUGGGACAACAGGGGGUUUUGUCCCCGCUGACAGGAGCCCCGUCUCCUCAGGAUCCAACAGGAGGUGCUGCACUGAGGGAAGAUCGUGCACAGGAUCCAAGACUCGGUGGCUCCUGGUGUACUCAUUCCACAGUGCCUCUUAAUAGCAAGUGGACUCCUCCAAGGGCGAUGAGCAUCACAACUUUGGUUGACCUUGGUCUAGGUAAGCCUUGUCUUCCAUAGCAAGGUUUGAUGUCUGUCUUAUCAGCUUCUUUGCUGUGGUAUUGAUAUGGUUGUUUUGAAAAUAAUGGACUUUCCAGUAAUUUCUAUGAUGGUAAAUACUACUCACAGUUGCCACUUUAUACAAAAUACUGUAGGGUGUUUUACCCCAAACAGGGGUAGUCUCCUGAG
rnacentral:lncRNA from 1 species